rnacentral:rRNA from 1 species
AACGAACGCUGGCGGCAGGCCUAACACAUGCAAGUCGAACGCCCCGCAAGGGGAGUGGCAGACGGGUGAGUAACACGUGGGAACCUUCCCUAUAGUACGGAAUAGCCCAGGGAAACUUGGAGUAAUACCGUAUACGCCCGAAAGGGGAAAGAUUUAUCGCUAUAGGAUGGGCCCGCGUAGGAUUAGCUAGUUGGUGAGGUAAUGGCUCACCAAGGCGACGAUCCUUAGCUGGUUUGAGAGAACGACCAGCCACACUGGGACUGAGACACGGCCCAGACUCCUACGGGAGGCAGCAGUGGGGAAUAUUGGACAAUGGGCGCAAGCCUGAUCCAGCCAUGCCGCGUGAGUGAUGAAGGCCUUAGGGUUGUAAAGCUCUUUUGGC